AUUGAACGCUGGCGGCAGGCCUAACACAUGCAAGUCGAACGAGUGGCGGACGGGUGCGUAAUGUCUGGGAAACUGCCUGAUGGAGGGGGAUAACUACUGGAAACGGUAGCUAAUACCGCAUACCAUCAGAUGUGCCCAGAUGGGAUUAGCUAGUUGGUGGGGUAACGGCUAACAAGGGCGACGAUCCCUAGCUGGUCUGAGAGGAUGACCAGCAAAACUGGAACUGAGACACGGUCCAGACUCCAACGGAAGGCAGCAGUGGGAAAUAUUGCACAAUGGGCGCAAGCCUGAUGCAGCCAUGCCGCGGGUAUGAAGAGGGCCUUCGGGUUGUAAAGUACUUUCAGCGGGGAGGCGUUACCCGCAGAGGAAGCACCGGCUAACUCCGUGCCAGCAGCCGCGGUAAUAC
rnacentral:rRNA from 1 species